UACGAAGGGGGCGAGCGUUGUUCGGAAUUACUGGGCGUAAAGGGCGCGCAGGCGGCCUUAGAAGUCAGAUGUGAAAGCCCCCGGGCUCAACCUGGGAAUGGCAUUUGAUACUCUGAGGCUGGAGUACGGGAGAGGAGAGUGGAAUUCCCAGUGUAGAGGUGAAAUUCGUAGAUAUUGGGAAGAACACCGGUGGCGAAGGCGGCUCUCUGGACCGUAACUGACGCUGAGGCGCGAAAGCGUGGGGAGCAAACAGG
rnacentral:rRNA from 1 species